CCUGGGGGAUGCUGGGGGUUGGAGUCUCCCUCUCUCUUUCGGACGGAGGGAGGGAGGACUCGAUUUGUCUUUCCUCAAAAAUUCUUCCAAUUGUUCGCUGGGCGGGCUGGCGCGACUAUUCGAAGGUCCUCAAAACAAGAUGCGCUUAUGAAUGAGAAGAGGCAGCUUUGGCUCGUGAAAACAUGCACUUCCCCUAGGACUCGCAGAUACUUCGGAUGCGACUUUGAAAGUCAGGAAAGUUUCAAUGAGUAUUGUUUACAUGGGAGGGUGCUCGCACCGUCGCGCAAAACGAGGUUGACAAGACGUUGCUGACAACAUUUCGAGCUCAUUUCAAAACUUCCAGUGCACCGAUUUUACAGGUCCCACUGUCAUAAGUGAUGACGAUAGAGAGUGUCCAUCCGUCGUCACCCCCCCCCCAAGAUAUUAAAAAGGAUGCAUGAACCCAUGGAAGUUUUGGACUUCUGGAUUGGAGUGCAGCUUGGUAACUUUUAUUUUCAUCAUAAAAGGAAAAAAGCCACACAUUCCAUGAAUGACAUCCAGUUCUGAAGGAACAAAUGGAAACAUAUGUAGAAGAACUCCUGAGGAUGUAUUAUGAGGACAACACCUCAGAAGGUUUUUACCAAGGGUUUAUAAAAUCAUUUUCACUAUACAAUAAAUUGUCAUAGGAUGGUAUCCAAUUUUAGUCACACAUAGAACAAGGUCAGUUAAAUCAAUAGACCUAACUUGGGACUAGGUUGAAAUCUGUGUUGGGGGUCUAUAAAUCUCAGUGGAUAUUCAACCCAGAAAUAAUUUUUAUCUUUUGUUAUCAACACCACUGAGUUUAAAGAGGAUGUACAGUUUAAGAUGCCAUACUUACUUGGGAGUAAGUCCCAUUGAAUUAGGACUGUAGUUAGCAGCUUCGGGAUGUUUGCAUGGCAAUUAAAAAAACCCGCAGCAUUCCUAUAUGUGAUAACUACUUUCCAAUGACAGCUAUCAUUUGGAAACCUCUUGCUUUAACUUUUUUCACAAGUAUUACUUUUGAGACCAGAAAUUAUGUUAUUGGGAAUAUUCUGGCAACAUAUUAUGAAAGCAUCAAUAUUUACUAAAUAACCUACAUGUUACAGUGCAUAUUCUGAUUACAAAAUAUGGGAAGAGUCAGUUUGCCUACUCUGAAGGACUAGCUCCCAUUUGACAAAGGUCAGUUAACAGUAAAAAUCACUGCUAUGAACUACUACAGGGAUUCUGUUUUUUGGACAAUUGGGAACCUUUAUUGAUCUACCAGUUUUUUUAAAAAAAAAAUCAUACAAAACAGCUCAUCAAGAAGAUUGGACAUUAGAGAUCCAUCUCAGUCUUCUGGAUAAUUCUGUACCACCCCAAAGAGAUCAUAUAUCUUUGUGUGUUAAAAAUAUAAAAAUAAAACCAUUUUAAAAAGCUGGGAGACACAAUCCCAAAUUAGAUUGAAAACUGCAGGAUUCCUGAUUUCCUAAAAGCUUUUGCCACCCAAUUCAAUUUGUGAAUUUGUAGACAGUGGAGUAUAAAAGGCAAGAGUAAGGACUACUACAUUUUUCCAAUACUUCAUGUUUCAGACCUGAGCCUCAGUCCAAACUGAACCAGGCAUGUAGGAAGGUUUUUUUGUUUGUUUUUAUGUAUAAAAAAUAAAAGUAACCUAGGAUAUAGCAUUUGGCUAGUUGCAGUCAUUUCUGCAAAACUGAUCCCUGCAUCACCUCCUAGAACAUGAUAAAAUCUCUAAAUUUGUGGCUUGGCAGUGGAAAGAAAAGUUCAUUCUUAUUAAAGUGGUUUUAAAAGAGA